UACAGAGGUCUCAAGCGUUGUUCGGAUUCAUUGGGCGUAAAGGGUGCGUAGGCGGCGCGGUAAGUCGGGUGUGAAAUCUCGGAGCUUAACUCCGAAACUGCAUUCGAUACUGCCGUGCUUGAGGACUGGAGAGGAGACUGGAAUUUACGGUGUAGCGGUGAAAUGCGUAGAUAUCGUAAGGAAGACCAGUGGCGAAGGCGGGUCUCUGGACAGUCCUGACGCUGAGGCACGAAGGUCAGGGAGCAAACGGG
rnacentral:rRNA from 1 species